GUAUUGGUUUUUUCCUUCUUUUUAUUCCAACAGAUUGAAACUAAAGAGCUAAAAGAAGUUAACAACAUGAAGCAGAAAGUCCCAUGCAGGAUGAUGCUUCUCUACAGUGGGUGAUGAAGGCAUGCUGGUUUACAAACUCAGGAGAGGAACAAAGAAGAGAUAUUGACGGGAUCAUAUCUAGAGAUGCGGGCCUACUACACUUCAUACGAGCAAGUGUGCUAAUAUACAUACUUGGGUUAUCACUAC